AUUGAACGCUGGCGGAAUGCCUUACACAUGCAAGUCGAACGGUAGAGGGGGCAACCCCUCGAGAGUGGCGAACGGGUGAGUAAUAUAUCGGAACGUGCCCAGUCUUGGGGGAUAACGUAGCGAAAGUUACGCUAAUACCGCAUACGAUCUAAGGAUGAAAGCGGGGGGUCGCAAGACCUCGCGCGAUUGGAGCGGCCGAUAUCAGAUUAGGUAGUUGGUGGGGUAAAGGCGCACCAAGCCAACGAUCUGUAGCUGGUCUGAGAGGACGACCAGCCACACUGGAACUGAGACACGGUCCAGACUCCUACGGGAGGCAGCAGUGGGGAAUUUUGGACAAUGGACGCAAGUCUGAUCCAGCCAUUCCGCGUGCAGGAUGAAGGCCCUCGGGUUGUAAACUGCUUUUGUACGGAACGAAAAGGUCUCUCUUAAUACGGGGGGCUCAUGACGGUACCGUAAGAAUAAGCACCGGCUAACUACGUGCCAGCCGCCGCGGUAA
rnacentral:rRNA from 1 species